CUUGCUGGGUUUUUGGGUGAGAUGCUGCUGCAGGGAGAAAUGAUACUGAAAGAAGAAAUGGAGACUUGUCUGAGGUUUUCUCAAGAGCAGGCUGUGGCAGCAUGCCUCCUUUAACCAAAAACAGGUCUUUACUGCCUUCCAUCUGAGGAUCUCAGCCUGACAUACAUUUAUUAAUUAGAAUUCAUUUUACAAGAGAACAAGCUGAGGAUGAGAAUGGAGAAGUUGCUCUUGGCCCAUCAUAAGUCAGAUGCUGGUGAUGGAGACAGCAAUAAAAAACAAGGAUGUGGGUUCUCAGCCACGUGCUUGGAGUGUGCAGAGAUGCUGAUCAGAAAGGCAGGGGAAAUAAAUUCUGCAGAAAGGUGAAAACAA